rfam:Asian citrus Psyllid, Diaphorina citri - Florida Strain, whole genome shotgun sequence.
GGCCUAGUCAGCUUGGUUGGUAGCGCGUCUGCCUUGUAAGCGUUAGGCCGCGGGUUCGAUUCCCGCCAAGGGCG